CUUGGCAAUUACACUAUUUUCUCCAUCUCUUUUUCUCUCGUCUCUCUCUUUCUCUCCUUCCCUCUUCUCUCUUCCCUCUUCUCAAACCCUAAAAAUGUGAACAAAAAAAGUCACAAAUUCCCAUCCCGCCGUCGUAAACCCAAAAAUCACAAAUUCCCAUCUCCUUUACUUUUUCAGAAAUCUUUCUUCGUAAUAUCAAAACAUUGCCUUGAAAACUCAUAAUCUCUCUUUCAUUUCUCCCUCUUUCUCAUCUACCUGUGCGUUUUUCAUGGAGGGUUGCAGCAGCGAGUUUGAUGGUCGGAUUCGUAGAGUGGAAGCCAUAAUCAGUUCAGUGGUACGAGCGACGGUCGGACAAAUGUACGGUGGUUGGUUUGCGUUUUUUUUCACUUCUUUUCCUUCCUAUUUCGUUUUAUGGAUUUGGUUUGAUAUAUGUUGUUGUUAAUGAGUUGUGUUCUUAAAUGUGUCUCAUAGUUGCCCAAUAUUUUGGAUCUAUGAUUUUUGAGGUGUGAGUUUUAAAGAGAGAGAAGCGAUUGAUGAUGCAAUUUGACAUGUAUAUUCACCAGAUCUGAGAUUUAGUUGGGUAUUCAUGUUGUUCAGAAGGUUAAUCUUAUUCGUAUCACUAUGGAUUGGGAGGUGUUAUUUCAUAGAAACACAAGUUCUAUGGGUCAUAUUUUCGUUCAGCUUCAGCAAAAAGAAAAAGAAAGGAAGGCUUUAAAGCUACUUGCAGUGAUAUGAAACAAGGAUCCAGAGUGUUUCUUCUUCUGUCCACAGGAUCUGGCAGAAGUGAAAUCCUUUUUCAACUUAACAGUCUCAAGAAUUAGCGUCCAUCAGUUGUAGUGAAGGUAUAUAUUUAUGUGUAUGUUUGUAUAUGUUUUACUUUCUUGAUAGUUGAUACACUGUUGGUUUUGUCUGACUUUGUAUUUUAUAUUAAGAUGGAAAAACACCUCUUUUUCUUCUUUGCCGAGAGUUAAAAUUGUCAAAGAGUUGUCAUAGAAAUAAAACUAAAAUGAAAAAGUUGAGACUUACAAAGAAAAGCAUCACACGGGAUAAUGGUGUUGUAAAAGCAUCACAGGGGAUAAUGGUGUUGUAAAAGUAAGGUGCACUGGGGUUAGUGAAACCAGGAGGACUUUUAAUUUUUGUAAUUUUUAUGUAGUUUUUUGUGUACACUUUCAAUGAACCCCUUCAACUUUGGCUUUACAAAAACAUGACAUGUACUGACAAGUUUAUUCGGUGCUUGUGAUCUUUUUAUUGUGUUUUUAUGUUGUUUGUCUUCUCUUUUGGUUGUUUGAUAUGUUUUUUGUUCAAUACUAACAUAGGUUUUCAAAAGAAACUUUGGACAAUAAUUAUGAUGACCUAUCCUCUCAAGAUGCAUUUGAAUAUGACAGUAUAGAUUAUAUUGGUUAUAACAGUGACGAAGACACAUAUUCUUUUGCAUCACUGUAUAAUGAAAGAGAUGGUGAGUGAACUCAACUCUAUGCAAUAUAGAAGACUUGAUUAUCCCUGUGUGCGAUUCUUCUUCACUUUUUCUCCUACAGUUGUUUGUCUUUGUAUUAGUUCUUUUUUGUCACUCUUAUUUUGCAUUCUUCAUAUGUAUUGUUACCGGUUCAUCAGAUAUUGAAGAGAACAAGAUUGAUGGCAUUUUGAAAGGAUUGUGUUUGCUGUAUUGCAUAAUUCGGCUCAGGAAAAUUUUACUCAAUUUAAAAACUAUUUGGUUUGCUUGCAUUUGGAAUAUAUAGAUAGGUCAGAACGAGGAGCUGUUCUGUAGCGGUUAGAGUUGUGCCUAUGUGUCUUUCAAAAUGGAAAUCGUAGCGGUUUGAUUGUUAGAUGUUUCUUUGGUGUUGUGUAAGUAGCUUGGAUUUAAUUGAUUUUGGUGCUGGUGAGGUUUUGGUAAUUUGUUACAGGGCUGAUUGGUGGGUUCAAAGUUGGGAGAACUUAGAAUUCUGUUCUGGUUGGCUCACAUGCAUUAUUGUAAUUUCAGAAAAUACUCUGCCUCUAGUAUAAUUAAGAAAGGGGAGUAACAAAAGAGUUUGAUUUUGUGUUAAAUAUGUUGUCUUUGUAUACACUUGGAAUAUUGAUUGUCCCUUUAUAUUUAUAUGACAGGACAAUAAUUAUACACUAAUUA